rnacentral:misc_RNA from 1 species
GAUGAAGACGUAGCGAAAUGCGAUAAGUAGUGUGAAUUGCAGAAUUCAGUGAAUCAUCGAAUCUUUGAACGCACAUUGCGCCUUCUAGUAUUCUGGGAGGCAUGCCUGUUUGAGCGUCAUUAAACCUCUCUCAAGUAUGAUUACUUGGAUGUGAAGGAAGAGUACCUUAAACUUAAGGAGUGUUCUCCUUUGAAAUUGAUUAGCAGAUGGUAAUGUUAUUAAAUCCCUGAUGUUGUAAGAAAUAACAGUGGUUUUGUAGACUAUUAUCUAGCUUUAAAUUAUAAUUUUUAUUAUGGUUGACCUCAAAUCAGGUAAGGAUACCCGCUGAACUUAAGCAUAUCAAUAAGCGGAGGA